rnacentral:rRNA from 1 species
CGCGCAGGCGGCUCUUCGAGUCAGGCGUGAAAGCCCCGGGCUUAACCUGGGAAUUGCGCUUGGGACUGGAGGGCUAGAGUUCGGGAGAGGAGAGUGGAAUUCCCAGUGUAGAGGUGAAAUUCGUAGAUAUUGGGAAGAACACCGGUGGCGAAGGCGGCUCUCUGGACCGAUACUGACGCUGAGGCGCGAAAGCGUGGGGAGCAAACAGGAUUAGAUACCCUGGUAGUCCACGCUGUAAGCGAUGUGCGCUAGACGUUGGAGGGCGUAGCCUUCCGGUGUCGCAGCUAACGCUUUAAGCGCACCGCCUGGGGAGUACGGCCGCAAGGUUAAA